rnacentral:snRNA from 1 species
AGCUUUGCGCAGUGGCAGUAUCGUAGCCAAUGAGGUUUAUCCGAGGCGCGAUUAUUGCUAAUUGUAAACAUUUUUUUAUAUGAAAAACAACUGAAAGCCAUGUCUCUAAAUAUGAGAUCCUUCUUUAUAGGUUUAUGAGGUUUCUCUAAUUUCAAAGUAUUCUUU